GGCCGGUUAGCUCAGUGGUUGAGCGUGGUGCUGACAACACCAAGCCAAGGGUUAAGAUCCCCUUACCGGUCA